ensembl:lncRNA
UCAAUGAUACUAAAUUCCCCAGGGCAUGAACCACUUUCCCCACCACCCCAAAGCACUGGUGGUGGUCAUUUCCCCCCAUGCUCUCAGGGUCUUUAUGCCUGGCAUUGGCUGGCAGCUCCUACAAGCCAAAACCUUUGCUCCUUGUCUCAUGGUGUUGCCUGUUGGUGGGAUUUUCACAGCCCAUACAGCUGUGAGGGCAAAAGGGAAAUUGCGACUGAAAGCCCUGCAAGUGCAGCAAUGUUUGCCUAAUGAAGCCCAGUGGAGGCUCCUGCUGUCAUCCAUGGAAACAAACCCAUAGGUGUAAACUUGUAUGCUUCCCUGCUUCCACCAGCGCAUCUCCAAAUGCAGGAUUUGUGCUUUGCAGGCUGCCUGGCAGCAGUGCUGGUGGGACAGGACUCAUAGGAGUCUGUUAGCUUGACCUGAGUCCCGGGAUCCCUGUAGUUUCUUGUAAACGUGCCACAGCAUGCUGAAAAUUACAGACCUGAGUGAUUUAACAUUGCACCACAUGAUAAAUGCUGGGAAUGCUGAGCAGCUAAUUCAAACAAGCAUAAAGUUGUGGAUGCAAUGAUUAACAAGGAAAGUAUCUUAGACUGGCACAGCAGAGUUGCACGGGUGCAUUUCAAUUUGAUAUAGAUGUUAGCGUAGAUGUGAGCAGUGUGUUACGUUCUGUACAGAACUCAGCAAUCCUGGACAAUCUUUCCUGGCAGAAAAGAAGAGGAAAAAGCUGCAAAGCAAUAGAGAGAGAGAUGACUGUAACAACGUCCCAGCUCUUUGUGGCUUUUUGCUGCAACACCUGCAAAAUGGCCCAAUUGGAGUUUUUGCACUGAGUAAUGUUGCCAGAUUAAAACAGAAACACCCCUCUCUGUUUUCAGUAGUAUGCUAUAGCUUGUUGGACACAACUUCAGAGACUUCAGAGUGUUCCAAGGACACCAAAGCUGAGGGAGGAUAUGUUAGGAGAUAAAUGGAAAAAUGGAAAAGCAAAGAUUGGAGCAAUUGGAGAAAACAGCCAAUAAACGAAGGGAAGAGAGAGUCCACUGUGAGUGCUGCAGAGGUAUUCAGACAAUGUUAUCCAUAUCCAUCAGUUCCCACUUGAACAGUGACUGCAGCUGUUCUGUGUUACUUCUUGGCUGGCUCAUCCCUGCAGCUCCCUCGCCUCUCCAUGCUCAUGUGGGUGAAGAAGAUGGAACCUGCAUGAAUCCUGGUGUUCACAAAAAAGAGCAUCUCCCAGAGCACAUCUGCUCUUUAAGGAACACAUAAAGAGCCCUUUGUGAAGAAUGUGCAGCUUUCAUCUUGGGUAUGUAAAAAGUGAGGGAGAAUUCUUUUUGGUAGGCUCCUCUUCACCCAGCCAAAAGACAUAGACACUGACAUAAAAGCAAAUGUCACUAAACACAUCUGAGAGUAACUGCAGAGAAACAGAGCUUUUUGGAACAUGAUACAUCAUAUUUUAAGAUAAACGUCCUACAUAUAUUAAGUGAAUUAUAUUUUAAAAGUGCCUAGUUUUUCUCCAUUGACUAUAAAGGGACCCUAGGGUGAGUAGACCAGACACUGUAAAUAUGUCUUAAGACAGCUGAGGCGAAUCCCAUUCUUAGUAUUGGGAAGCUGGAAUGAAGAGACAUCUGUGUUUCAAUUCAGUAUGAUCAACGAAAUAAAGGGAACUCUG